GCUGGGCGCGGUGGUGGGCGCCUGUAAUCCAGCUACUCGGGAGGCUGAGGCAGGAGAAUUGCUUGAACCCAGGAGGCGGAGGUUGCAGUGAGCCAAGAUCGCACCACUGCACUCCAGCCUGGGCGACAGAGCAAGACUCUGCCUCAA
rnacentral:sRNA from 1 species